rnacentral:lncRNA from 1 species
CAAGGGAGUCAGCCGGGGAGGGCGAAAAGGGAACCUGGCCACUGCUCCUUGGUCCUUGGCAUUAUGACGGGAUUCCCUUGUCACCUCUGACAGUUCCUGGCUGCGGUGUCCGCGGACUGGCUGGGGAGUGAUGACAGAAGGGAUGGAAACCCUAUUUUCUUUUCUCCAAGACCAUGGUUGGUCUGCUUCCCUCACUCGGGCUCCUUGACAGUCUUCUAGAAGAGAGGAGGAGGAAAAGAAGCAGUUCCUGAUGUUACAAAUGAACAAGGAUCUCCCAGAAAACAGGAAGAAUGUCAUGCACCGUGUGGAUCACCUUCAGUUCAAAGUUGCAGCAAAGUGAAGAAACUACUGGAAGCCACCCAGCAAUGCACUGUUUAGUCAUCAAUUAGGAGCCCAUGGGAGGAUAAUAGGGAGACUGGGUGGAGGCUCAGUGUGUAAUAAUCUCUUGUCUAAUGUAUGUGUGUCACUGCCAUGUUGUAUGAACAAUAGUGAGGGCUCACAUUUACUUAACACUUGUGUACUCAAAUCUGGGUUUUUCUUUCUUUCCAGAACUAUGACUCAAUCAUAAAAUCUGUUUUGUUUGCAUGCAUGCCCAAAACAACCCUAUAGGUAGAACAUUAUCAUUAUCUCUGUUUUAGAGAUGAGGAAACAGGCUCAGAGAAGCUCAGAAAUUUGUUCAAGAUCGCACAGCUAGUAAAUGGCAGAAGUAGGAUUGUGAACCCAGGGAAUCUCCAGAGCCUCUGUGUAACCAUGAUAUUAUAUUUUUUUCCUCUUUAAAAACAAAAUUAAAAACCUUGCUAUAAUCUCUUAUUAGGAAAAGAUCAUAGUUUCUGAUUGUGCUCUGCCUUCCCAUCCUGCCAAUCUCCUGGACUGGGUUGGAGAAGACAGGGGGCCCCCGAGCUUCAUCUGUGACUCAAAGGAGUUUGCUGCUGUCUCCUGUGUCAGUGUCCCAUCUAUGCAGGAUCAGCACAGGACCCCCCUCGCCUUCCUACUUACACUCUAGCCUUUCCAUACAUUGGCAUUCUCUCCUGGCCCUAGCCAGCGCUCCACACCUGUUGGUGUGCCACCUCCCUCCCUCUUCCCCCACUGGCCUUGAACAGGCAAACCCCCUAAUGUUGCCCCUAGGUUGGGUCCAUGACUAGGACACCUGCUAGACGGUCUGUGCUUGGGCCUUUUCUAGGAAUCCUGAUGUUACUGGGUAAGUGCCAACUCUGUGGGCAGAAUGCUAAUGAUAAUCCUGUUCCCUAACCUCUUUCUCAGAAGUACCCUGGCUCACUCUCCCCAAUCUCAGCUUUAUAGAACAACAUUUUGGUCUUGAUUAUUCCCAUAUCAAGCUGCCCCAGGGCUUCGGUAAGCUGUUAGUUGCCCCACUGCCUCAAGGCUGGGUCUGGCUGAGCUACUUUCUUAUGCACACAAAUAAUGGGUGUCUCCUUGGAACCUGACACAAAACUAUCAGUGCUACCAAGCCUUGUAAAAUAGGGAAGAAACUAAUAUUUCUUGAGUGGCUUCUGAGUGCCUGGUGCUUUCACGGCUCUCUGGAGAGAUUCCUUGCCCUGAUGCCUUUGGUGUGUACUCCUCUCCCAGGACUUCAGCACUGAGAUUUUCCCAACCCCCUGGCUUUUCCUCACCUUGGGUUGAGUUGAUCCGGCACUACCACAAACCCCAGCAUCUGCAAACCAACCAAGAUUAGGCAGUAUGCCCUUUCCGUCUUGCACUGCUCUUCCAAAACUUCCAUCUGUAUUUCUCACACCCUCAGUAAGCAAAGCUGAGUGUGCGUAGACAGAGCUGCAUCCACUGCUUUCUCCCAACGGGUGCAGUCUAAUCUGACACGGGGAACACUAGGAGUUUAGCGGAAUCUUCAGCCACCCUAUUAAUGUGUUACGCAUUAGGCAUUGUAGUGGAAACUACUCUGACGGCUCAUGAUUAUAUGAACAGGAGCAAUUUGGAAUAUAACAUGUCAGCCGUGGACUGGGAGGUGCCGUAAGAGAAAACACUACCAGGGUCAUAGGCUUGGGUCCUUGAGGCAACCUAGCAGGGACGCUGUUGCCCAUUCCUCUCAUCCAGACUGCAGGUAUCUUCCUACACCUCCCUGUCCCAUAGCCUCCGUCCUGUUUUUUGUUUGUUUGUUUUUCUUUGUGAAUGUAGAAAAACAUUUCAUCAUGAGCCCUAGCUCCUCAGUUUUCCACCUAACACCCACAUUCCCUUGUUUCUAACUGCCGUGUUUUUCUGGAGCCUGCUGGGAUCUUUGCAGUUUGCAGAUCAUAGAAUCAGACAUGAAAAGGCUUCUCUUCAGACGUCAUUGGUUCCUGGCUCCUUUACAGAUGAGAACACAGGCCCAGAGGUGAGAAAUGACUCUAGCAGGGUCAUAGAAUUUGUUAGUGCAGCUCAAGAUGGGACUUAAACUCAGGCCUCCUGAUCACAUCCCAUUCCCAGGCUAGGAAACAGGUCUCUGCUCGGUGUGGUGGUUCAUACCUGUAAUCGCAACACUUUGGGAGGCUGAGGCAGGAGCGUUGCUUGAGCCCAGGAGUUCGAGACCAGUCUGAGCAACAUAGUGGGACCCUGUCUCUACAAAAACUUUAAAAAUUAGCUGGGCAUGGUGGCACACAUCUGUAGUUCCAGCUACUCGGGAAGCUGAGACAGGAGGAUCGCUUGAGCCCAGGAGUUGGAGGUUACUGAGCUAUGAUCGCACCACUGCACUCCAGCUUGGUGACAGUGAGACCCUCAAAAAAAAAAAAAAAAAGAAAAGAAAGAGGUCUCUACACAAGCCCGUGAUUCUUCAUGGCAAGGGAUAACAUCAGAAAUGUUUUAUUUUCUGCUAUUAGUUUCCAUUCCUUUCCCCAUCCAGGCAUAAAGAGAAACAAAAGACAAUGAUGGUAUUCUCUGUGUCCUCAGCUUUGGCACUUUUGUUGAUGUUGCUAAGGAGCAGUGACCUUGCUAAAAAGACUGAAUAAUCCACCCACUGAAUAGCUAACCUGGGAAGGAAAUGAAAAUUUCCUAUGUGGAUCUCCCCAAAUCCAUUGUUGUCACCAGGCCCUCCCAGAGCCUCCUCAGUUCCUUCACAGUGCAACCCUGUGUACUUGGCCCGCAACCCAAUAGUAUUGUGCCUCACUUCGCCUUCCAUGGGCAACUGCCCUCCCUUCUGGACAUAAA